rnacentral:rRNA from 1 species
GAUGAACGCUGGCGGCGUGCCUAAUACAUGCAAGUCGAGCGAACAGACGAGGAGCUUGCUCCUCUGACGUUAGCGGCGGACGGGUGAGUAACACGUGGAUAACCUACUUAUAAGACUGGGAUAACUUCGGGAAACCGGAGCUAAUACCGGAUAAUAUAUUGAACCGCAUGGUUCAAUAGUGAAAGACGGUUUUGCUGUCACUUAUAGAUGGAUCCGCGCCGCAUUAGCUAGUUGGUAAGGUAACGGCUUACCAAGGCAACGAUGCGUAGCCGACCUGAGAGGGUGAUCGGCCACACUGGAACUGAGACACGGUCCAGACUCCUACGGGAGGCAGCAGUAGGGAAUCUUCCGCAAAGGGCGAAAGCUUGACGGAGCAACGCCGCGUGAGUGAUGAAGGUCUUCGGAUCGUAAAACUCUGUUAUUAGGGAAGAACAAAUGUGUAAGUAACUAUGCACGUCUUGACGGUACCUAAUCAGAAAGCCACGGCUAACUACGUG